rnacentral:rRNA from 1 species
GCCAGCACCAUAUCACCCUGCAACUCACAACUGGCAGCCCACUGAAGCUAAGCAGGUGUGAGCCUGGUCAGUACCUGGAUGGGAGACCACCUGGGAAAAAAAACUAAGGUUGCUGCUGGAA